AUUGAACGCUGGCGGCAGGCCUAACACAUGCAAGUCGAACGAGUGGCGGACGGGUGAGUAAUGUCUGGGAAACUGCCUGAUGGAGGGGGAUAACUACUGGAAACGGUAGCUAAUACCGCAUACCAUCGGAUGUGCCCAGAUGGGAUUAGCUAGUAGGUGGGGUAACGGCUCACCUAGGCGACGAUCCCUAGCUGGUCUGAGAGGAUGACCAGCAACAAUGGAAAUGAGACACGGUCCAGACGCGGACGUGAGGCAGCAGGGGGGAAUAUUGCAAAAUGGGCGCAAGCCUGAUGAAGACAUGCAGCGUGUAUGAAGAAGGCAUUCGGGUUGUAAAGUAAUUUCAGCGGGGAGGCGUUACCCGCAGAAGAAGCACCGGCUAACUCCGUGCCAGCAGCCGCGGUAAUUC
rnacentral:rRNA from 1 species